rnacentral:lncRNA from 1 species
UCUUAAGGCUGUGAUUAAGUGCAUUGAAGAACAUAAUCUAGAGGAGCAAUACCCUGUCGAUCCACUUCAGAAACGAGUUCUCCUGUUAGAGAAAGCAAAAGCAGACAAGAAAAGGGCAACCGAAGUUGCAAAGCCUCAACCCAAGAGGCCUCGUGCUAAUGGUGCCGGAUAUGGUCCUCGAGUCACUAAUAUAGCUGCUGACAAAACAUUUUAUCCCAGAGUCACUGACAGGUACAUGCAGUACGUGUAUGACAGACCCUAUGUUUACGCCGGACCUGCUGACAACCACAGCCACUCUCUUCUUGCUUCUGCUACCUACAACUUCUCUCCUAGUCAUGGGAACUACUUCGGAAACGGGUACCAGUAUCAGACUCCGUAUCUUCACUAAUUCCC